AUUGAACGCUGGCGGCAGGCCUAACACAUGCAAGUCGAACGAGUGGCGGACGGGUGAGUAAUGUCUGGGAAACUGCCUGAUGGAGGGGAAAACUACCGGAAACGGGAGCCAAAACCCCAUAGCCAUAGAAGUGCCCAGAUGGGAUUAGCUAGUUGGUGGGGUAAAGGCUCACCAAGGCGACGAUCCCUAGCUGGUCUGAGAGGAUGACCAGCCACACUGGAACUGAGACACGGUCCAGACUCCUACGGGAGGCAGCAGUGGGGAAUAUUGCACAAUGGGCGCAAGCCUGAUGCAGCCAUGCCGCGUGUAUGAAGAAGGCCUUCGGGUUGUAAAGUACUUUCAGCGGGGAGGCGUUACCCGCAGAAGAAGCACCGGCUAACUCCGUGCCAGCAGCCGCGGUAAUAC
rnacentral:rRNA from 1 species